GAUGAACGCUGGCGGCGUGCCUAAUACACGCAAGUCGAGCGAACAGACGAGGAGCUUCUCCUCUGACGUUAGCGGCGGACGGGUGAGUAACACGUGGAUAACCUACCUAUAAGACUGGGAUAACUUCGGGAAACCGGAGCUAAUACCGGAUAAUAUAUUGAACCGCAUGGUUCAAUAGUGAAAGACGGUUUUGCUGUCACUUAUAGAUGGAUCCGCGCCGCAUUAGCUAGUUGGUAAGGUAACGGCUUACCAAGGCAACGAUGCGUAGCCGACCUGAGAGGGUGAUCGGCCACACUGGAACUGAGACACGGUCCAGACUCCUACGGGAGGCAGCAGUAGGGAAUCUUCCGCAAUGGGCGAAAGCCUGACGGAGCAACGCCGCGUGAGUGAUGAAGGUCUUCGGAUCGUAAAACUCUGUUAUUAGGGAAGAACAAAUGUGUAAGUAACUAUGCACGUCUUGACGGUACCUAAUCAGAAAGCCACGGCUAACUACGUG
rnacentral:rRNA from 1 species